UUUGGAUAACUGGUAAGUGUGGGAGUUACCACGCUAUACCAUAAUUUACUGCCUGAAUUGUAAUUCGAAAAAUCUGUACCGCCUAGCUCUUUUACAACUUUAUUUAUACUGAAACUAAUUUGGAUAACUGGUAAGUGUGGGAGUUACCACGCUAUACCAUAAUUUACUGCCUGAAUUGUAAUUCGAAAAAUCUGUACCGCCUAGCUCUUUUACAACUUUAUUUAUACUGAAACUAA
rnacentral:lncRNA from 1 species